GUACGAGUAGCUCAGUUGGUAGAGUCCAGGAUUGUGAUUCCUGUUGUCGUGGGUUCGAGCCCCAUCUCGUACCCCA
rnacentral:tRNA from 10 species